CGAUCGAACCCAAAGCACGAUGACUCUUGGAACCAUGAGUCAUCUGACCUCUCUUGAAGUUAUGCCUUUUGAUUCCUCCUUGAAACCCUUUCCCAAUCGUCGUCCCAGCCACGUCAACGAAGUCCCCUUCUUUGAAUAUCUCGUCGAACACCAGCUUCUGGUUCGUCUCGAAUCCUUCCACGUUUACUAACCUGAACUCUUGCAGAUGUCUCAUUGGGAUCGUACCGGCUUUUUGGAGAUGGCCCAUUUCCGGUUUGGUUAGCUUCUUGUCUCGUACUCGACGGUAACCGAUUUGAACCGCGUCGUAACCGUCGGUGGCUAGGGUUUUGAUUUGGGUUACGAUGUUGCCUUCGCGGAAUCCGACGACUGUUACUGGAACGACUGUGCCGUCGUCUUCGAAGAAACUCAUCAUACCGAGCUUCGAACCCAUUACUCCGAUUCCAGCUUCCAUGGAUGCUGAAACAACGAAUCUGGUUUUGGGUGACGAUUUGAUGACAAGUGAAGAGGAUUUCGCUGGGAGGAAGGUGGGGGUGAAGAGAGAUGAGGAUAAGGUCGAUUUGUUGAGUAGAGAUGGGAAAGAAACAACCGCCAUAGCCAUCGCCAUUGUCCCAAGAUACCCACACUGAGAAGAAGAAGAAACUCUGAGAGGAUAGAGCUCUGUGCCACUCUCUU
rnacentral:lncRNA from 1 species